GACGAACGCUGGCGGCGCGCCUAACACAUGCAAGUCGAACGGAGAACUUCAGAUGAAGUUUUCGGAUGGAUUCUACUGUUCUUAGUGGCGGACGGGUGAGUAACGCGUGAGGAACCUGCCUUGUAGUGGGGAAUAAUGGUUGGAAACGACCACUAAUACCGCAUAAUGCAUUUUGGUGGCAUCACCGAAAUGCCAAAGAUUUAUCGCUAUAAGAUGGCCUCGCGUCUGAUUAGAUAGUUGGUGGGUAACGGCCUACCAAGUCGACGAUCAGUAGCUGGACUGAGAGGUUGAUCGGCCACAUUGGGACUGAGACACGGCCCAG
rnacentral:rRNA from 1 species